GACGAACGCUGGCGGCGUGCCUAAUACAUGCAAGUCGAGCGAAGUUUUUCUGGUGCUUGCACUAGAAAAACUUAGCGGCGAACGGGUGAGUAACACGUAAAGAACCUGCCUCAUAGACUGGGACAACUAUUGGAAACGAUAGCUAAUACCGGAUAACAGUAUUUCUCGCAUGAGAGAUAUUUAAAAGUUGGUUAUGCUAACACUAUGAGAUGGCUUUGCGGUGCAUUAGCUAGUUGGUGGGGUAAAGGCCCACCAAGGCGACGAUGCAUAGCCGACCUGAGAGGGUGAUCGGCCACACUGGGACUGAGACACGGCCCAGACUCCUACGGGAGGCAGCAGUAGGGAAUCUUCCGCAAAGGACGAAAGCCUGACGGAGCAACGCCGCGUGAGUGAAGAAGGAUUUCGGUUCGUAAAGCUCUGUUGUUAGGGAAGAAUGGAUAUGUAGUAACUAUACAUGUAAGAGACGGUACCUAACCAGAAAGCCACGGCUAACUACGUG
rnacentral:rRNA from 1 species